rnacentral:rRNA from 1 species
GGGUCAGUAGGUUGGUCGUGCCACCGGUACGUACUGGUCUCACUGACUCCUCCUUCCUGAAGAACCGUAAUGCCAUUUAUUUGGUGUUGCGGGGAAACAGGACUGUUACUUUGAAAAAAUUAGAGUGUUUAAAGCAAGCUAACGCUUGAAUACAUUAGCAUGGAAUAAUGAAAUAGGACGAUCGAUCCUAUUUUGUUGGUUUCUAGGAUUGACGUA